GAUGAACGCUGGCGGCGUGCUUAACACAUGCAAGUCGAGCGAGAAGUUUUGAAAAGAUUCUUCGGAUGAAAUUUAAAAUGGAAAGCGGCGGACGGGUGAGUAACGCGUAGGCAACCUGCCCCAUACAAAGGGAUAGCAUUUGGAAACGAAUAUUAAUACCUUAUGAAACUUAACUAGUGCAUGCUAGGUAGGUCAAAGAUUUAUCGGUAUGGGAUGGGCCUGCGUCUGAUUAGCUAGUUGGUGAGGUAACGGCUCACCAAGGCGACGAUCAGUAGCCGACCUGAGAGGGUGAACGGCCACAUUGGAACUGAGACACGGUCCAAACUCCUACGGGAGGCAGCAGUGGGGAAUAUUGCACAAUGGGGGAAACCCUGAUGCAGCAACGCCGCGUGAACGAUGAAGGCCUUUGGGUCGUAAAGUUCUGUUCUGGGUGAUGAAAACUACAGUAACCUAGGGGAAAGCCAAACUAACUCCC
rnacentral:rRNA from 1 species